rnacentral:tRNA from 1 species
GGGGAUGUGGCAUACUUGGUAGAGCAUUUGCCUAGUAAGCAUAAAGUCCUGGGUUCCAUCUCCA